GAUGAACGCUGGCGGCGUGCCUAAUACAUGCAAGUCGAGCGAACGGACGAGAAGCUUGCUUCUCUGAUGUUAGCGGCGGACGGAUGAGUAACACGUGGAUAACCUACCUAUAAGACUGGGAUAACUUCGGGAAACCGGAGCUAAUACCGGAUAAUAUUUUGAACCGCAUGGUUCAAAAGUGAAAGACGGUCUUGCUGUCACUUAUAGAUGGAUCCGCGCUGCAUUAGCUAGUUGGUAAGGUAACGGCUUACCAAGGCAACGAUGCAUAGCCGACCUGAGAGGGUGACCGGCCACACGGGAACUGAGACACGGUCCAGACUCCUACGGGAGGAAGCAGUAGGGAAUCUUCCGCAAUGGGCGAAAGCCUGACGGAGCAACGCCGCGUGAGUGAUGAAGGUCUUCGGAUCGUAAAACUCUGUUAUUAGGGAAGAACAUAUGUGUAAGGAACUGUGCACAUCUUGACGGUACCUAAUCAGAAAGCCACGGCUAACUACGUG
rnacentral:rRNA from 1 species